GACAGUACGCACACAAGUUUUUUCGUAUGAAAUAAGAAAUGUUUAUUCACAUAAAAGAAUAUUGAUAGUUUCCAGUACAUAUACAGAUGACGUUAUUAAUGAAUAAUCCGCCAUGUAGCUGCUCAAGAAAUGAAAUUAUUGGUUUAUCGCCCCGAAGAAUCUACUUACUAUCCGCAGAACACACAUCUCCCUUUGGGUCACUCUCAAGUCGCAAUUGUUGAAAGAUUAAUCUAAAAUGUUCAAAAAACCCAAAAUUGGAUCUUAUAGCAGUGGAUCUAGUAAUUUGCCCUGGCACGAACCUUUGUAGCUGUACACCAGUUUUUUUUUUCUUUUAUAAACUUUUGAACAUA